GCCAACGGUGGUGUAGUGGUUUGAGUGUUAGACUAUGACUCUGGAAGAGCAGGGUUCGAAUCCUGGCUUGGCC